rnacentral:rRNA from 1 species
UAGGGAAUCUUCGGCAAUGGGGGGAACCCUGACCGAGCAACGCCGCGUGAGUGAAGAAGGUUUUCGGAUCGUAAAGCUCUGUUGUUAAGGAAGAACGAGUGUGAGAAUGGAAAGUUCAUGCUGUGACGGUACUUAACCAGAAAGGGACGGCUAACUAUGUGCCAGCAGCCGCGGUAAUACGUAGGUCCCGAGCGUUGUCCGGAUUUAUUGGGCGUAAAGCGAGCGCAGGCGGUUAGAUAAGUCUGAAGUUAAAGGCAGUGGCUCAACCAUUGUAGGCUUUGGAAACUGUUUAACUUGAGUGCAGAAGGGGAGAGUGGAAUUCCAUGUGUAGCGGUGAAAUGCGUAGAUAUAUGGAGGAACACCGGUGGCGAAAGCGGCUCUCUGGUCUGUAACUGACGCUGAGGCUCGAAAGCGUGGGGAGCGAACAG